rnacentral:lncRNA from 1 species
AAGGGCCCUUAUGCUGUGUUGACAGGCCAAAGCCGGCCAUAGUCCCUGUCAUUCUCUGCUUACUUCUCUUUCCCUUCUCUUCUCACUUACCAAAAUUUAAUUCUGUGAUUUCUUCAUUCAAUGACUUUGCUAAAGUUAAAAUUAUCUGUUGAGUUAAUUUAUUUAUACUUAUCUCAGAAAUUUAUAUAUUUGUAUUGGGAAACUAAGAGACACAACCAAUGAACAACCCAAGGACACCCUCGGAUAAUUUUUUUUAUUUCUUACUUUUCGAAGAGAUGACGUCUUGCUAUGUUGCCCAGGCUGGU